AUUGAACGCUGGCGGCAGGCCUAACACAUGCAAGUCGAGCGAUCGGCGGACGGGGGAGUAAUGCCUAGGAAUCUGCCUGAUGGAGGGGGAUAACUACUGGAAACGGUAGCUAAUACCGCAUACCAUCAGAUGGGCCCAGAUUGGAUUAGCUGGUAGGUGGGGGAAUGGCUCACCUAGGCGACGACCCCUAGCUGGUCUGAGAGGAUGACCAGCCACACUGGAACUGAGACACGGUCCAGACUCCUACGGGAGGCAGCAGUGGGGAAUAUUGCACAAUGGGCGCAAGCCUGAUGCAGCCAUGCCGCGUGUAUGAAGAAGGCCUUCGGGUUGUAAAGUACUUUAAGCGGGGAGGCGUUACCCGCAGAAGAAGCACCGGCUAACUCCGUGCCAGCAGCCGCGGUAAUUC
rnacentral:rRNA from 1 species